CUGGUGAGCUUGAGCCUUGCCAAGGCCUUGGGAAUGGGGUCUGUUUCGUGAGCACUGUCCUAUGCUGAGGUGGAGAUGGUCAGAGCCUGUCAAAGAGGAGUGGGAGGCCCAACCCUGAGAGGUGGUGCCAAGUUCAAGAAGAAGGGAGAGACUAGCUGACAGAUGUAUCCAACCUAUUGCCCACAGGCCGCCACAUGAGGCUGAAGACAACUAUGAAUUCAGUUCAAGCAAAAUCAUAAACAUACUUAAAAUACUA